CUGUUUUAUAAUUUUUCUCUCGUCUGCAUGAAGAGAAUGGUGGUGACGAUCAGCUAAUUAAGCUCCUGUCUGAACAGGUCACUAUCAUGUGGUCGGAUCACUUCAGCCUAUCCUGGCCGCUCCAGGUGAUGAUGUCAUCCUGCCGUGUCGCGUGGAGCCAAAGUUUAAUGUGGCGGGGUUGACGGUGGAGUGGUCGAGGCCCGAUCGUCGUCCUGACCCCAACGACCGUCUGAGUCGAGUGGAUUAUGUUCAUCUUUACAGAGACACCCGAGAGGUCCCCGACAUGAAGAUCCCAUCGUACGUCGGGAGGACGGCGUUGUUCACAGACGGCCUGAGAGAAGGAAACAUCUCACUAAGAAUCACUAAUGUGACACAAGAAGAUGAAGGAAGAUACAGAUGUUUCAUCCCAAAGUUAAAGAGUCAAAUACAGUCUUCAAUUGUUCAUCUGAUUGUUGCUGAAACUAUGACAACAGAGA